rnacentral:tRNA from 1 species
GCCACUGUGGCGCAUAGAAAAGCAUGUCCGUCUAUGACGCCGAAUACCUGGGUUCAAAUCCCGGCGGUGGUU